rnacentral:lncRNA from 1 species
GGUUGUUUUGUGGGCCAUGUAGGUAGUUGAAUUAUGGUUGGUUUAUUUAAUUGGAGAAAUAAAUGAAAGGCUAGUUUGGGGAGUGCAAGGAUAAAAGGGUAGGAAGAAUAGAGAGAGGGCAUUGAGAAUUCAUUUAAGGGGGCAUGGGGUAUAUGGAGUUAAUCUCCGAGUAAAUAGGAUUAAACAGAUCUAGGAAGAUUGUUUACAAGAUUUAUAAUAUACAAGAAAGUGUUCUUAGAAUCUCUCGUGUGUUCCUUUACUUGGUUGUCUCUAAGCAUUCAUUUGAUAUCAGAGCGGGAAACCUCUGUGGUAUUGAAUACUACUAAUAGGUUGAUGUCCUGCUGAUUUCAUGGAAACCAUGAAGGAACUUGUUGCUGUGCAGAA